GACGAACGCUGGCGGCGUGCCUAAUACAUGCAAGUCGAGCGCAGGAAGUCAUCCGACCCCUUCGGGGGGACGUUGACGGAAUGAGCGGCGGACGGGUGAGUAACACGUAAAGAACCUGCCCUCAGGUCUGGGAUAACCACGAGAAAUCGGGGCUAAUACCGGAUGGGUCAUCGGACCGCAUGGUCCGAGGAUGAAAGGCGCUCCGGCGUCGCCUGGGGAUGGCUUUGCGGUGCAUUAGCUAGUUGGUGGGGUAAUGGCCCACCCAGGCGACGAUGCAUAGCCGACCUGAGAGGGGGAUCGGCCACACUGGGACUGAGACACGGCCCAGACUCCUACGGGAGGCAGCAGUAGGGAAUCUUCCACAAUGGACGAAAGUCUGAUGGAGCAACGCCGCGUGAACGAUGAAGGCCCUCGGGUCGUAAAGUUCUGUUGUAAGGGAAGAACAAGUGCCGCAGGCAAUGGCGGCACCUUGACGGUACCUUGCGAGAAAGCCACGGCUAACUACGUG
rnacentral:rRNA from 1 species